AUGGAGGGCGGGGGCAUUUCUCCAGUCUCGUCGCCGUCGCGGGCAACCGGCGGGCAGGUCAACGGCCGCGCUUGGUCGGCCGUCGCGGCCGCCAGCGUCGCCCUCAUCCUGCUCUACAUUUUUUGGCGGUUCGUAUGGCAGGGCAAGAAAGACGCGCCGAGGAACGACGGCACCGGCGCCGCCACCUCGUCCGCUCCACCGUCGCCACCUUCAUGCCCGUCGCACGUGGCUGGCGGAACGAGCGACGGAGAACGCGGCGAGAACGAGAGGACGCAGCUCCCGGUAUUCGUGCACGUGGCCACGGAGAAGGCGGAGGAGUGA
rnacentral:rRNA from 1 species